CUUAAGUGCGCGGUUGGUGGGUGUUCUGCAGUGGGGGGAGGGAGCCGACAAAGACCUGGGAGUGUGCGUGGAUCUCUCUAUUCCAAAGGAGGUGUUUUAUCACACGACUCGACACUUUCUAAUUACUACACACAGUGGAGUUUACUUUACUACUAUUCUUUUGUUCGUUGGGGGAACGCUCUCUUUCGGGGGGGGAGUUCUCCCAGNGGAUGCAAACACAAACAAAUAUUUUUUUAAAAUAAUUCAGUCAACACAAGAUUUCUUUUAGUAGAAAACAACUUCAAAACUUUCAACAAUGGAUCUCUUGGUUCUCGCAUCGAU
rnacentral:misc_RNA from 1 species